ensembl:lncRNA
UAUCAAUACGACAAGACGUAUCAAUAAGUCAAGUACUGAGACGUCUUGGAAACAACAGAAUGGCUACUGACUGACACCAGGCAGGCUUUCAGAAAAUUUAAGGAGGCUUUCAGCCAGUGGAAACAAAGGAUUUUUCUAAAGCCUUCCAAUAACAGAGGAGAAGAAAUAAUUAUUCUAUCACUUUGGGAAGUGAACCUGAUGGAAAGGAUCUAAGACGUGACUGCAAGACCAGUCACCAUGGUGUGAACAACCACAUAUACACCCUGAACAAUGCUGUUUCAAAGCCACUUGAACAGAUCAACAACGCCAGCACACAUUCCCCUGACAUGGGAAGGGGUAACUCUGCAGCUCUGUUUAACCAAAUGAACAGGCCUCAGGAAAUCAGUGUGGUAUUCAAAAGUGGGUCCAGGGAGUUCAUUUCAUGAUCCAGUGGUGUUACUCCUGCAGAGGAAAGCACAGAGUUCUGCACAGACUGAAGCUCCUCACCAGCCAAAAUGCAAGCAGGAGGUCAGCCCUACAUUUCUUUCCAAGAGACAUGCAUGUUUGAUGGCUGGAAUAAGGAUGAAGAGGAAAUUACCCCUUCAAAUCAACAUAGUCACGUACUCAAUAAGGAA